rnacentral:rRNA from 1 species
GACGAACGCUGGCGGCGUGCUUAACACAUGCAAGUCGAACGGAAAGGCCCUGCUUUUGUGGGGUGCUCGAGUGGCGAACGGGUGAGUAACACGUGAGUAACCUGCCCUUGACUUUGGGAUAACUUCAGGAAACUGGGGCUAAUACCGGAUAGGAGCUCCUGCUGCAUGGUGGGGGUUGGAAAGUUUCGGCGGUUGGGGAUGGACUCGCGGCUUAUCAGCUUGUUGGUGGGGUAGUGGCUUACCAAGGCUUUGACGGGUAGCCGGCCUGAGAGGGUGACCGGCCACAUUGGGACUGAGAUACGGCCCAGACUCCUACGGGAGGCAGCAGUGGGGAAUAUUGCACAAUGGGCGGAAGCCUGAUGCAGCAACGCCGCGUGCGGGAUGACGGCCUUCGGGUUGGAAACCGCUUCCGCCUGUGACGAAGCGUGAGUGACGGUAAUGGGUAAAGAAGCACCGGCUAACUACGU